rnacentral:rRNA from 1 species
UGCAAGUCGACGAUGAACCACUUCGGUGGGGAUUAGUGGCGAACGGGUGAGUAACACGUGGGCAAUCUGCCCUGCACUCUGGGACAAGCCCUGGAAACGGGGUCUAAUACCGGAUACUGACCUGCCUGGGCAUCCAGGCGGUUCGAAAGCUCCGGCGGUGCAGGAUGAGCCCGCGGCCUAUCAGCUUGUUGGUGAGGUAAUGGCUCACCAAGGCGACGACGGGUAGCCGGCCUGAGAGGGCGACCGGCCACACUGGGACUGAGACACGGCCCAGACUCCUACGGGAGGCAGCAGUGGGGAAUAUUGCACAAUGGGCGCAAGCCUGAUGCAGCGACGCCGCGUGAGGGAUGACGGCCUUCGGGUUGUAAACCUCUUUCAGCAGGGAAGAAGCGAAAGUGACGGUACCUGCAGAAGAAGCGCCGGCUAACUACGUGCCAGCAGCCGCGGUAAUACGUAGGGCGCAAGCGUUGUCCGGAAUUAUUGGGCGUAAAGAGCUCGUAGGCGGCUUGUCACGUCGGUUGUGAAAGCCCGGGGCUUAACCCCGGGUCUGCAGUCGAUACGGGCAGGCUAGAGUUCGGUAGGGGAGAUCGGAAUUCCUGGUGUAGCGGUGAAAUGCGCAGAUAUCACGAGGAACACCGGUGGCGAAGGCGGAUCUCUGGGCCGAUACUGACGCUGAGGAGCGAAAGCGUGGGGAGCGAACAGGAUUAGAUACCCUGGUAGUCCACGCCGUAAACGGUGGGCACUAGGUGUGGGCAACAUUCCACGUUUGUCCGUGCCG